AAAAAAGAGACAUUUUAAUUGGAUAAUAAAGUCAUACGAGGGACGAGUAAGGCCCCAAAGCAAUACAUUCUUGGCCAGUCAUGGACUGUUCAAGACACUGACUCAGAGCUCUGGGCCAAACCUCUGUCUUGAAUAUAUUUUAAUUAAGAUAUAAUGAAAUAUAUUUAAUUAAAAUGAAAAUGAAAAUUUAAACAUUUUUUAAAAAUUUAUUUUUAAAAACAUUUUUGUCUUUUUUUAGGGCCGCACCUAUGGCAUAUGGAGGUUCCCAGGUGCAGCCCUAAAAAGAAAAAAAAAGGAAAAAAAAAAAAGAAAAAGAGGGGUCUUGCAGAGACCACUGAUGAUGUGCCUUGAAUGGAAGAGGUUUCAUGAUAGAACUCAGAAGAAAAAGACACUGGGGUUCCCAUCGUGGCUCAGCGAGUUAAGAACCUGACCAGUAUCUGUGAGGAUAUGGGCUUGAUCCCUGGCCUCUCUUAGUGGGUUAGGGAUCUGGCAUCGACAUAGCUGCAGUGUAGGUCACAGAUGUGGCUCUGAUCUGGCGUUGCUGUGGCCGUGGCGUAGGCCAGCAGCUGAAGCUCUGAUUCGACUCCUAGCCUGGGCACUUCCAUAUGCUGCAGGUGCAGCCCUAAGAAGAAAAAAAAAGUCCAGCAUCCACUGAGAAUGUGUUUCCAUACAAAGUCUGCGCACACCUGAAGGACGAAGAGGGAGCACGCAGGCGUGGGAAGGAGAGCUGCAGUGCGGUAGAUGACAGCCUCAGGGCUCCGAAUACUCUUCACAAUUCUUCUUAACCUCCUUAGUAGCCCCUGGCCACCCUCGACUCUAUCGAUCCAGCCCUCAGGCGUCUAUGCAGACUGGGGCGUCCACUGCGCACUUCUCUGCCCUCUGUCUGGAGAAUUCCCACACUUCGUUACAACUCAGCUUAAACACUGCCCCCCCACCUCACCCCCCGGCAGGAGGCAUCCCCCUGCCUCCCAGAGCUGAUUCACUGCCUCUUCUUAUCUUUCCCAGACAACCAGUGAUGGCUCGAGCUGAGCUGCUUCCACACUAGUCUCUUCUUAGAAGCACAGCCUUUCAGGGAGUGGAGAGAAACACUGGGGCCGUGCCAGCCAAGGGAGGAAAGUCUGGCCUGGGAGAGGGGAGAGCUGGGGUGGACUGGACAGUGAAGGGGGUGAGGCCCCUGGGUGAUUUUUGCCUUGGCUUUCCCUUUCAAUUCCCUAGCCCAGCCCUGCCAAGCCAACCAAUUCUGUCAAAUCUUAUUUCUCAGGUGCCUGUGAUCCCAAGACACCGUGGUGCGGGAUUGCAACGCCACGGCCAUUCUUUGAGUGUUGGACCCAGGCAGGGAGGGAAGGCUUGGACGUGAGCAAUGUCAGAUAACAGUGGCAGAAUAGAGUGAAAGACAGCAGAACAGGACAGCAGAAAAGGGAUGGCCUGUGGGCACUGAAUGGUCUGGGUGCAGGGGGCAGGUGCCUGCAGGGGCUGCAAAGGGAAGUCCUCUGAGAACCGGCCCAAUGUCCAGGAGGAUGCAGGCUGGAUGGGGAAGGGGGACUGCAUGCGAACGGUCCACGAGGAGCCCCCGGAUUGGAGGCCAGAACAGAAGAAAACAUCAGGGAGUCUGGGAGGGUUAUCAGGGCCAGAAUUUUGAGGCCCUCGCAAGCCAGGCAGAGGGACAGUGCUGGGAAAACGGCGGUGAGAAAUGCAGAAAGCCGCGCAGCUGAUGAGAGGUGUUUAGGGGGAAAUGGGUCUGGGGGCGGCCCUUCGGGAGGCUGAGGCAAAGAACCCAGUUAGUAAACUCCUCCGAAAUCACAGCCGGGCAGGAGGCACAUGGUACUAGAGUCUCACGUCGUGUCCCCCUCCACCCCAGUCAGCACGACUGACAUCAGCAGCUCACUGGAGCACACUUGCCCGACUCCAGGUGCAACUCCAGAGGGUUUUUUAGGCCACUCUGGGCUCCUGGCAGCCCCUACCGAUCCAUCCAGGGUGAUGGGUCAAAUCUCCCCGCCUUGCGGGUUCGAUCAGUCAGGCGAUGUUAUGGGGAACUGACACGCAUCCUCAAAUUCCAGUGGCUUAAAGCGGUGAAGGUUCAUCGCUCAUUCAGGCUACCUGUCCAUCACAGUUGACCAGAGAUGGCUGUCAGUGCCAGCACCGUCCAGACAGACUGACAGGGCAGCCCCUUCACAGGGCACUGCUGGCCACCAAGGCAGGGGAGAGAGAGAGAUACAUCUUUGGAAGGUCUCUCACUAGCGUUUCAUAUGAAAGCCUGAAAAGGCAUAUCCCUCUGUAUGCCACUCAUUGGCCAGAACUGGUCACAGCAGGCAAGGCCGUGGAAUCUUAAUCUCCAAAAGGCAGAGAGUUAGAAAAAAUAAAAGAAAGGCCUGGAGUUCACAUUGUGGUUCAGCAGGUUAAAAACACGACUGGUAUCCAUGAGGAUGCGGGUUUGAUCCCUGGCCUUGC
rnacentral:lncRNA from 1 species